GUUAUAUUUCUUGAUAUUAUACAUUUUUCAAGUAGAUUGAUUUUUUUUUUCUCUUUAUGUACUUAGUUGACAGACGAGGCUUGCUUCAUUUUGUCUAAAGAUUUUAAGAAUCCUCUAGUUUUCCCUGAGAAAGACUUGGAUAUAGC